GGUCCGGGGUCUGUCCGCAGGGUUCUGGGGGCCGUCCCGGGACACCCAAGGGCCGACAGCUGGUGCAGGCUGCAGAGCACCGGUUUCCAAACUGCCACAUUCGCCGCCACUUGAGCCCUCCUGCCCGCGGGACGUGCACUGCUGGGUCCGGGGAGGUUACAAAAUGAAGGUGUUCAAAAAAGGGCUUCCGGCACCUCAGCUCGAAUUCUGCAAUGUGUGACCCUGGGUCUCCAGGGAGCGCCGAAGCCUGUGAAUAAGCACAUCUCUUCCUGAGGAGACUCUUGGUGCUUUCUUCAUUUGAUGUUUGUGUUUCUUUAUUCUUUUCCAAGCAUCCGGCGAUGAGCGGCUAUUCCCCUAUAACCAGAACCUUCAACAAUGAGCUAGUAUAAAAAAACUACAGAAAACCAGUCUGUUACCUUCGACUCCCGCCCUCACCCCAGCAGGAAAUGUAACUGCCAGGGCGGGGGCGGGGCUCCCUAGAGUGGCCAGAGGGAAUGGGUGGGGGCCUCUGGCCUGUCCCCCCCCCCCCCCCCCGUGACCCUGGCCCCAGGAAGGGAGAAGGACAGAACCCCCAGGCUCCCUGAGCUCCAGCCUGCCAGGUGCCAGGAGUAGGGGCAGUAAGGUUUUGGGAAGGAAGCUGUGGGAAGGAAUCAAUCACUGAUCCAGGCUAAAAGGAGAUACAAAGACAAUAAUCUGAUCAUGGCCCUCUCCAGCUGGAGAGACCCCGCCAGGCUCACCACCCAGCCUCCUCCCCACCUCACACCCAAGCUAGCCUCUGUCCAGAGCUUCAGCCUCUGGGGACCCCCUGGGCCACACAGAGUCCUAGAUUCCAGGAUUGAAGACAUCAGCUGGCUGGUCAAACCCCAAACCCUACAGUGCCUCCACUACCAGGAAGCCUUACACACACACACCUCCUGAAAGCCCCAGCUUCCAGACCAUAUGCUCACCCUCCUUCCCCUCCCAAAGAUUUCUUCCUCCCAGCACAAGGUGGGGCCCCUCCUUCUUGGUCUCCCCCUUUCGUUGCCUCCCUGAGCCUAGAGAUGCUCAGUGAGGACUGGCUAGACAGCACGGUCCAGCCCUUUGCUUUUGACAGGUCGUCUAGACUGACUCCUGGGCAUCAACUGGGUCUCUAAGCCUGUUGGAGUGCUGGAGUAGAGCAGAGAAAUGGAGAGAGGCAGACUUCUGAUGUCAUCUUAACGGCCCAUGGACCCACCCAUGGAUCAGCCCAUCCCUGAUCUUUUCAGUAAGGAGACAACCUUCCAGUGGAGAUUAAGAAGGAGCAGAGAGGAAAGACGAGAGCAUGGUGCAAGAGAGGAAGAUCUUCUAGAUGUCUGGGCCUUGUCCUAGAGCUCCUUGAGCUGGCAUGAGCCUUGUCUCAGGCAUGCCCAGGGAAGCUCUGUCCCUCCUGGGGCCUAGACCAAUGGCCUUCCUAGCAGGAGAAGCGGCCAAGCCAUGCAGGAAAGUAUCUGUGAUUCGAGCCACCCAAACUGAGCAUACACCAUUUGUCAGGUCCUGUGCUAAGCUCUUUUCAUGCAUUAUCUCAUUUCAUGCUCGCAACAGCACUGGGUUAAACAUUGUUAUUAUCCCCAUUCAGGGCUGCUUUCAUUGGCACGGAACCUGGGGAGCCACACAGGGCCUGCGCUUGGUUUAAUGUUCUGCUGUUGCUAUCUUAAGAUUCUUAAUUCUAUCUUGGAACAUGUGCUUUGUAAGUGAAAUCUGAUGGAAUGUUGGAACAUGUGUGUAACCAGAGGAGACACGUGCAGUAUGCUGUGAUCCCAUUCACAGAGAGUGUUCAUGAUGCCCCAUGUCUUAGGCGGAGUUCUCUAGAGAAGCAAAACCAGUGAAGCUUAGAGAGGGAGAGAUUUAUCUUGAGGAAAUGGUUCACAUGGUUGUAGAGGCUGGCAAGUCCCAAGUCUGUGGGUCAGGCGUCAGGCUGGAGGCUUCUUCUGACUCGUAGCUGCAGGGGCUGACGAACCCAAGAUCAGCCGGUAAGACAGCAGGCUGCUAGCUUAAGUCCCAAGAACCAGAGGUCAGAUGAUGAGCUGGAUAUAGGAUUCAGAGCAAGCAAGCGGGCUUUUCCAGAACGUCCAUCUAUAUAUAUUGGAUGCAGGCCACACCCUGGAGGAAGCUUAUUUUACAACUAACUGAUUGACUGAUCGCAUCAUGGGGGAUGACUACAUCAUUGCAUAACUGCCAAACCACUGAGAAUCAUGGCUCAGCCAAGUUGACACAUAACUUCAACUAUCACACUGCAUGAACACAGAAUUCCUAGACCCAGGAAGCAUGGGAAUUCCGUUAGACUCAAAUCGAGUACAAGGCAAGCCUUUUACCUCUACAGCUAAGUGGGGGUGCUGAUAGCCCUGAGAGGCCAGAAAGAAGACAGUCUCAUUCUAAGAAGCACAAAGGACCAAGGAGCCCUACCAUAGCCUUUCUUACUCGUGUGAAUCGAUUGCUGUUGAGUCAAUUCUGACUCAUGGUGACCCCACGUGUACCAGAGUAGAACUCUGCUCCAUAGGGUUUUCAGUGACUGAUUUUUCAGAAGUAGAUUCCAGGUCUUUGUUCUGAGGCACCUCUGGGUGGACUCGAACCUUUACCCUUUUGUUUAGCAGUCGAGUGUAUUAACUGCUUGCUCCACCCAGGGACUCCUUACUCAUAUUAUCUUCCUGUACAAGCUCACCACUUACACUGAAAGUGAGAACAUAGAAGCUCUUCCUUACUAUCAGUCAGCUGAAGGCAGAGAGUGUUGGUAGAAUGUAGGAGUAUCAAUAAGUGAAAUAAAACCAGUUGAGUUAGUGUUGUGCAGCAGUUCCACCAUCCCGGUGAGAACAAAAUACACAUGGACGGACAAACUAUGACAUACCAGUUGUGUAAUUUCAGUGGUUCUGCAUAUGAGUAAAUGCCCUUAAUUUCUCAUUUAAGAGACUGGCAUUGCGUAAUAUAAAGAUGAAUGGUAAAAUCCAUGCUAAUAAUUUAAAAUUUUAAUUUUUCUUUUUUUAGAACAUUUAACAGCAAAAGCAAAGCAAAACAAAAACGUAACCCAUGUCAAGUCAAGAAAGAGAUCUCAGAAGAAAAGAAAAAGCUCUCUAUUUUAAUACCUUUUACAGCUCUUUUUUUCCCCUCCUUUCUGAACAGGGCCCCAUAUUUUCAUUUUGCACUGGGUUCCACUAAUUAUGCAGCUGGCCCUGCUCCCACUUUACUGAUGAAGAAAGGCUCGGAGAGGCUCAGAGAACCUAAUUGACUUGCCCAAGGUCCCCUGGUCGGGAUUCAAACCCAGGCCUAUAUGACUCCAGAGCCCAGGCUCCUAAGCACUCCAUCAGCCUGCCUGUUGGGGAUCCCCUCCCAAAUCAUAAGGGCCAUGAAUUUUGAUUGGGCAAGGGAGGAUAUCCUCUCACAAGCUCCAUUCUCCCCCUCCACCCACUACCCCAUUGUCAGUGCCCGAGCUCAGGCCCCAUCUUCUCUGUCAAGCUGCACCAUACCAACAGCCUCCUUCCUGGCCUCCCUGCCUCCAGCCUUACCCCUGGUGUAUCAAGAUUCUCUCACUGUGUAUAUUCUCAACAACAAAAUAAAAUUAAAGAAAAACUACUAUAGAUCAUAGGUAAAUGAACAUGGCAAAGUGCCAAUAAAACUUUAUUUAUAGACAAAAAAGAUUCUCUCACUGAGAUGUUAGUUUCGUUACUUCUUGUCUCUGCUCAAGAAUCUUCUUCAGCUACCUAUUAAAAAACCGGUUGCCGUCAGGUCGACUCUGAUGUCAUGCGUGUCAGAGUAGAACUGUGCUCCACAGAGUUUUCAGUGGCUGAUUUUUUCAGAAAUAAAUCACCAGGCCUUUCUUCUGAGGCUCCCCUGGGCGGACUUGAACCUCCAGCUUUUUGGUUAGCAGCUGAGCACAUUUGCACCACCCAGGGACUCCGCCUACAGGAUAAAGUCCAUAUUCGUCAACCCAUUAAUCGAAGCCCUUUAUCACUGGGCCUCUACUCAUAUGUAGGCAAAAAAAAAAAACAGCCUUGUACGGCCUAGGUUCACCCCUUAGCUCAGACUAUUCCCUUACCUUAGAUUGCUCUUCCGGGUCCUCUCCUUAAAAUUUCUCUCUACCUUGGAAGCGCAUUUACUUGGCUAUCCCAACCCUACGUAUUCACUCUCUUCCCUCCCCUCGUAUAACUGGCUCUGAAUAGGUCCCCCGGGAAACCCAGAGACCGAGGUCUACCUCCUUAUCACGCACAAGGGGAAACUGAGGCCCAGAGUGAGGAAGAGCUUCAAACAGGGACAUACAGUGAAGGAGGUUGAGGCAGAGCUUUGAAUGGAGCCCCCAGCAGAAGGGUCCUGGUUGUCACGUGUUAGCUUCCCUCAGUGCUCAGCUGCUGGACCAAGGCCAGGGCCAGGCCAGUCUGCUUGAAGGCCAAGGAAUGUUCCUAGUUCCUAAGGCAACCUGACCUCUCAGGGCUCCACGCCUGCCCUGGGGAUGGGUCUUCCUCCAAGGCAGUGGAAGUAGGAGUUUGAGCCGUUGUUCACGGGGCAGGUGCUGGGCCGGACUCCGGGAAGGCUGGAGGCAGGAGGCCAGGGUUCUGACCUCUUGUUGCCUCCGGUUUGUUCGUUCAUUCAUUCAAAAAUAUUUGUAAAGGACACACCGUAUGUAAAGCAAAGUGCCAGGCCCUGGAGAGAUGGUUCCUGGAGCUUUGACCUGAGAAGAAAGAAAGCCGUUAAUCUCAAAUAACCACACAUCAAAACGAAUUGCAAUAUGGCCAGUGGUGCCCUGAGAAUUUGUGGGGGGGUCGGAUUU